rnacentral:rRNA from 1 species
UACGUAGGGGGCAAGCGUUGUCCGGAUUUAUUGGGCGUAAAGCGCUCGCAGGUGGUCCGAUGCGUCGUGCGUGAAAUACCCCGGCUCAACUGGGGAGGGUCACGCGAUACUGAUCGACUCGAAGGCAGGAGAGGGUAGUGGAAUUCACGGUGUAGUGGUGAAAUGCGUAGAUAUCGGGAGGAACACCAGUGGCGAAGGCGACUACCUGGCCUGUUUCUUGACGCUGAGGCGCGAAAGCUAGGGGAGCAAACGGG